AGCAGGUGGAGAGUGAGGCUCUGAGGCUGUCAGACGGUGAGACGGUGAGGCUGAUCAGAGCCUGGAGCAGGACAAACAAACAAUUAAGACAAUGGUUUAUGCAAAGGCUGUUUGGCUUGAGGGUGACAAACAGUUUGAAGGUGUCAUCCCAAAAAACUGGAUACAGGAAGAAAAAAAUGUUGUUCGAUGGCCAAAGAAAAGUGUGCAUUCAGCCCAUAAAAAAAAGAUGGACCCAGAGGUUGACUGGAAAACGUUCCCACUGGUGAAAAUAAAGACAAUAUCAGACAAUGAGAAAGAUUGUGAAGAUUAUAACUACACUUCAUCAGCCCAAACUGACCAUGAAGGUUCCACCAUUGUGCCAGAAGAAAACAGGAAGCGACACGUUAAGAAGAGGACAUAUGAUGAUUUUGUUGAUGGUAAGUGUAUAAAUGUUCUCUAUUUAAAUAUGUUAUAUAUUGUUUCACU